rnacentral:rRNA from 1 species
GUGAGGAAUUUUCCGCAAUGGGCGAAAGCCUGACGGAGCAAUGCCGCGUGAAGGAUGAAGGCCUAUGGGUUGUAAACUUCUUUUCUCAGAAAAGAAUUAUGACGGUAUCUGAGGAAUAAGCAUCGGCUAACUCUGUGCCAGCAGCCGCGGUAAGACAGAGGACGCAAGCGUUAUCCGGAAUGAUUGGGCGUCAAGCGUCUGUAGGUUGUUUAAAAAGUAUUCUGUCAAAGAUUAGGGCUUAACCCUAGAUAGGCAGAAUAAACUUUUAAGCUAGAGUUUGGUAGAGGCAGAGGGAAUUCCCGGUGGAGCGGUGAAAUGCGUAGAUAUCGGGAGGAACACCAAAGGCGAAGGCACUCUGCUGGGCCAAUACUAACACUGAGAGACGAAAGCGAGGGGAGCAAAUGGGAUUAGAAACCCGAGUAGUCC